GAGAAGGGCGUUUGGUGAAUGCCUAGGCAGUAAGAGGCGAUGAAGGACGUGAUACUCUGCGAUAAGCCAUGAGGAGCUGAGAAUAAGCUUUGAUCCAUGGAUUUCCGAAUGGGGCAACCCACCUGACAGUUUGAUAUAAUUGCCUUUGGGCAGCUUAUAUCUUGCUGAAACAGGUACUUAUUACCUGAAUACAUAGGGUUUUAAGAGCAAACCCGGGGAACUGAAACAUCUAAGUACCCAUAGGAGGAGAAAAUAAUAAUGAUUCCGUAAGUAGUGGCGAGCGAACGCGGAAGAGCCCAAACCGGAUAUGUUACGGCAUAUCCGGGGUUGUAGGACCUGCAUAAUUUUGAUUAAUCUGACGAGAAUUGUCUGGGAAGGCAAACGAUACAGGGUGAUAGUCCCGUAUUGGAAGGAUUGAGAAGAAGGCGGGUAUCCUGAGUAGGUCGGGACCGGAGAAAUCCCGAUUGAAACUGCCAGCACCAUCUGGUAAGGCUAAAUACUCCUGAGAGACCGAUAGUGAACAAGUACCGUGAGGGAAAGGUGA
rnacentral:rRNA from 14 species